AGUUUAAUGUAACCUUUGUAUUACAGUUCAUUUUGUAACAAUGUGUGCUUAUCUUUGUAAUCAUAUAAUCCUUUAGACUUUGAUCUCUUAAAACACUGUAUGGACUGAUUGUCUUAGAAUAUUUUAUCGUUCUUCUCUGAUAACAUACCCUACAUAACAAUUUUUUAGAUUAGUAUUUUGUGAUCUUUUACAUUGGUUCAUAUAGUUGUGAAAGCUAUAAAAAAUCGUUCACAUACCCUUCUUUUUUCUGAUGUAUUUACAACGAGACAAAAAAAAAUCUAUCAAAUAAACCCAGAAGAUCAAAUACUAAAGUUGCUUGAUCUAAUGAAGAACUUGUAUAAAUUGACAAAUAGCUCUAAGGAAGAACAAUUGGUCAGUGCUAACAAACAGAUAAAGAACACAUCAAAUUAUCCUCUUAUUUUAGCAAACAGUCAUAAAAAUGUCAACAACAAAACUUAAUAAAGAUGGUGCAUCCAUGGGUAAUUGACAGCUUAAGGAACCAGUCAGGACACAGUGGGAGGUAACAUAAGUCAAUGUUGAUCACCCUUUAGAGCCAAUUAGCAAUGGAUCAAGUGUUCCUUAAACCAAUUAGUAAUAAGCCUUACCUUAUCUAAUCAGAAUGCAAUGAUGUAAUUGAUCAUGCAGUGGGUGGUGGCUUGGAAAGAGUUUAAUAAGCAGCAGCUUUUUAGUAACUAAAGGCACACAUAUGAAGAUUGAAAGUGAAGUUACCUGUUGUCCAAGUUGGAAGCAUAAGAUCCUUGAGGUAUUAGAGAAAGAACAUGUGUCAACUUAAUGCCUUAAGCUGAACCAGAAAGCAACAGCCAUAAUAUGAUCAUAAAGUUGCUGCCCUGCUUUGAUGUGUGUUAUUUAUAACUUCAAUUGCUGCCACAAGCCCCAAGAAACCAACACUAGUCUCUGAGGAGGAAGAGGAAACCUCUUGCUCUGCACCCAAUACUGGAUUGCAACACUAGACUGAGUAAGGAAACCAUAAACUGAUGAGGGUGCAUCAGAGUCAUGUACGCAGAUGUCAGGUUCUGAGAUGGAGUUGUCAGGCUGGAUUUUAGCCUGGAGAUCUACAGUUGGACCCCUGAUAUCGAAAAAGUACAGAACCAAUUCCGACCUGUGAUUUAUAGCAGCUACCCAGGUAAGCAUCUGCAGAGAGUGGAGCCAUAUAAAAUCAGUUUGGCAGUGUUUGAUGCACUUCAAAAACAGCAUAAGAAAAUCUUCCCAACCCAAUUAUUUUAGUGUUAAGUGAGAAGUAAUGUGAUGUAAAAGCUUUUAUCCCUCAAAUGUGAAAUAAAAAGCAUAAUGUUGUCAUAAGAUUGUAAGGUGGUCAUUUUUCUGGAUUAAUUCACUGAUCCAGAGAGAUUAGUGUUCUAACUUUUAUUUAAGAUAAUUCUAAGGCUUUAAUUUCCACCACUCUCAUAGCGGGUCUUUUCCAAGUGUUGAAAUCUGAUUCUGUUCGACAAUUGUUUAAAACCAGGUCUAUCUUUUGAUUGCUUGGUGUAAGCGUAAGGAAAAAGUCAAUAUGUCCUUCCAUCUGCCACAAGGCAGUUUGAUUCAGUGAAAGAUUUUUUUUUAGAAGUCCUGUGUGUAAAUGAGAUUGGUCAGAUCAUUUCAAAAUAAAUUUCUAUUGUUUCAUACUGAAUAGUGAAUGAAUGUUUGUUCUGUACAGACGCAGAAUGCUGAUCUUCACUCUACAGAUUGGGCUAAAGUAUUUAAUCACUUAAUUACUGAAGAAAUACUGCUGUGAUGAAGGUCAGCAUGACAAUACGAGCAGACACAAUCAUGGAAACCAAUGGUAAGAUAGAUGACACCGAACACUGCACAAUGGACCUGGC